UGUAGCGUCUAUGUGAACAAAAAAUGUUCUCUCUCUCAUUCUAUGGUCCUUGAGCUUUAAUAACAGGGACAUUUUUUAAAUUGGUAGCAUUAGAAAAUGACAGUAAACAGCUGACUGAUGUAAACAAUAACACAAUAACAAAGGAAAUGUUAUAAUUUUAAUCUAUAUAACCAGUGGCUGCUUUAAAAGUGUGUACUAACGGGAUAAUAAAAUAUUUACAUUAUAUGAUGAGACGGGAAUGGCACAACACAGAAUUGCAGUCAGUGAUUGUGCUGGAGAAAGCUGCUGUGACGUACUGACAGUACUGACUGUCGCUGGUUGUAUGAUUUGCGCAAUUUGUGAUAUAUUUUGUGUGAAAAACUGGAAAACAAAGUGCAUACCUGCAUAACCUCACUUAUCGCAGUUUUGCACAUUUUGACGAUGGGAAUUGCGGUUCAAGUAAUUAUGAGUUAUAGAUGGAGCUCACUGUUUACUUCAAACUGAAGCCUUUUGGGUCCACUUUUUUCGUUGUUAUUUCCUGGUAGCGACUCUUGUUUCAAGCAGAAUGGGUGUAAAGUUAAAAAUAAUCCCAUAAAAUUGUUAAUAUAACUCCGUUGCACUGGCAUGGGGUAUUUGAAAACUUACGUUUAACAAAUACGUCACAAAGUCUCAGCCAUCGUCGAAAAACAUAAAAAGGGCUUUAUAACAAGAAGCGCUUUCUGAUUUUACUGUGGACGUGUGGAAGAAUAGUGUGAAAUAUUGCGAAAAACCAACUUUUACUCUUGUUUACAUUUUUGUACGUCUCUAUCUGAGAGUAGUCGUCUUGUAUAAAAAAUAUAGCCUACUAAUAAAGGAAAUUAAAGUGUUUUUA